UUGAUGUUAAAUGGUGCAGUGUCACUAUUUGAUAGGAAUUUUUCAGCUCCAUUCAAUCUUAUAGGACCACCAUCAUAUAUGUAGUUCAU